GCAGGUGAAUGUAACGUCAAGCGAUGGGCGUUACGCUCCAUAUUGUCUGACUUCCUUUCAGAAUUAAUGCUCAGCGCAUUUAAUUCGCACGACGCCGGCCGCUGGCCGGUUUUU
rnacentral:sRNA from 1 species